rnacentral:rRNA from 1 species
CAGUCGACGAUGAUGCCCAGCUUGCUGGGUGGAUUAGUGGCGAACGGGUGAGUAACACGUGAGUAACCUGCCCUUGACUUCGGGAUAACUCCGGGAAACCGGGGCUAAUACCGGAUAUGAGCUACCUUCGCAUGGGGGUGGUUGGAAAGUUUUUCGGUCAAGGAUGGGCUCGCGGCCUAUCAGCUUGUUGGUGGGGUGAUGGCCUACCAAGGCGACGACGGGUAGCCGGCCUGAGAGGGCGACCGGCCACACUGGGACUGAGACACGGCCCAGACUCCUACGGGAGGCAGCAGUGGGGAAUAUUGCACAAUGGGCGAAAGCCUGAUGCAGCGACGCCGCGUGAGGGAUGAAGGCCUUCGGGUUGUAAACCUCUUUCAGCAGGGAAGAAGCGCAAGUGACGGUACCUGCAGAAGAAGCGCCGGCUAACUACGUGCCAGCAGCCGCGGUAAUACGUAGGGCGCAAGCGUUGUCCGGAAUUAUUGGGCGUAAAGAGCUCGUAGGCGGUUUGUCGCGUCUGGUGUGAAAACUCGAGGCUCAACCUCGAGCUUGCAUCGGGUACGGGCAGACUAGAGUGCGGUAGGGGAGACUGGAAUUCCUGGUGUAGCGGUGGAAUGCGCAGAUAUCAGGAGGAACACCGAUGGCGAAGGCAGGUCUCUGGGCCGCAACUGACGCUGAGGAGCGAAAGCAUGGGGAGCGAACAGGAUUA